CUCUCCCUGCGAAUGGCAGACGUUAACGACCUGGUGUGCCGUAUACCUGAUGGCCACCCGCUGCUGGGUGUGCAUGUGCUGCAGAUAGCUUGCUGCCUCUUCGUGGAGCUGCACGCAGCAGAGGCUGAGAGAGCACUUAUGUUCAAUUUAUGGACGGCUGGCUGCUUGCUGCUGCUGUUGAAUGUGGAAAAUCUGCGGUCCUAGUUUACAGUUCCAGCACUGUCAGAAGCUCCUAACAAGUCACCAGGAGGUCUGUGUACACAGCAGUAUGAAUGCUGGGCAAUUCUGAGCCCACGGCAGCUUUUCAUGGGUGAGCCUCCCACUGCCUUCUGUGAGAGCUGGCCUGCAGACCUGAUCCUCCUGAAUUUCACUUCAGCCAUGGAAGUGAACUGCAUUGUCAGGGAAGUUUCCCCUGACCUGACUAAAUACUGUUUACCCCAGCUUCUUCUUUCAAGCAGUCUGUCAAACAAAAAUGCUCAGUGAUCUUUUAAUUCAGAACCUGCAUCUCAAGGUAAAGGAACCUUCCUGUGCUCCGGGGCAAAUCAUAAUGAAAAUUCCGGGUUUAACAACAUCAUCUUAAUGGUAAAAUACUUAUUUUAUCCUUCUCAAAUGCAUGUAAACUAUGGGCCCUCUAUUAUGAUUAUUUAUGGUUAUCAUUUUGGCUGCUCCGAGCAGCAGUGUCUGGGCUUAGUUGUCUUCUCUGCUCAGGAUGAAAAAUGAAGUUUGAAAGAAUGUUCAUUACCUUCACGGCAUGUGUUGACUGCACUGAUUCUUCAUCUGCCAAACUGCAUAUGCUGGCUUCUGUCUCAUCUGGAGACCUCUGGAACUAAGAGCAAUUGAUCAAAUUAAUUCUAAUAUAAUCCCACACAGACUCUGCUACCACUGCAGCUUGUUAACCUUAUAUGCAAACAGUUUAUUUAAACUAUCUGGAUGACAUCAUGAAAACUACCUUCAAUACAUCAAACAAGGAAUGAAAUGAAAGCCCAUUUCAACAUUUUUUCCAAGAUAUGAUUUGGGUUUUGCUACUUAUUUCUAAAAGAUAAAGUUUGGAUCCUCCAACUGAAGUAAUUUAAAUUCAGUUGGCCAUACCUCUUAAAUUACUGAGAUUUUUCCCACUCUUAAAAAGAAAAAGAAAAAAAAAUCAACUAAAAAACAAAUAACCUUAAAGUCAUGAAGUUCACCACAGUAGCUUUGUUUAUUGCACAAAAUAACAAUGGAAGGAUCCUAGCAGCAAUCUUCUGAAAUCGCUAUGACCUUUUCUUUCUUGCUGAUAAUUCUUGUUCCUGCAUUUUGUGGACCUUUACAUCAAAAUCAACUCACUGACAGAAUUCUAUCACUUCUUGUGGUCUCCAGUCCACAUAAUGCCACCUUAGUGCAGCUACAGUGUUUGGUUAUGUGAAAUAAAGCAGUUUGCCAUUGGUUGCA
rnacentral:lncRNA from 1 species